rnacentral:misc_RNA from 1 species
AACGCACGAGACCUGCGGACCUGCGGAAGGAUCAUCAAAGAAUCUUUUAAAGAAAAAUGAGUUGCCCUAAAAAAGCACUUGUUUUUCUUCAAACAAACGAUCACAACUAUUGAAAAAAUAUAAGGAUGAUUUGGUUGAGAAAUUGAUUUGGCUUGAAAUUAAACAAACAAGUGUUUGCCUGAUAAUCUUAUGACUUGGAAACAAGAGAGAAAGAAAUACAACUUUCAGCAACGGAUCUCU